UUUUGAUAUGAAGCAGGUGGGGUGGGGAAGUAGAGGUCAGUGGAGGGUCAACCUAAGAUGGCAAGAUCCUGAGUCAGGCUUGCUUUCAACUAUGGCUUCCCAUUUGUAUGGACUGACUCUCUCUGAGGACAGGCUCUACCAUAGACCCUUCCAGAAGUCCGGAGACUGGGAAGAGCAUGGACUCAGAAUGCAUUUGGUUUGAGAUUGCAAGUUGGCUACUCACUAUACACUGCACGACCUUUUCCAUGUUUCCAGACUUGAGUUUUGGUUUCCAAAUCUGUACAAGGUAGCAAUGCAUCUAUCUUGCAGGAAGGUGGAGGGGAUUGGGUGGGAGAGUGUAGGGAAAGUGUCAGUUACUGGGUCCAUAAAGAGAAAUGUGCUACAAGGUUGUCGACCCCACAAGUCACAUGUUUUAACGGACUCUAUCUUGGAGUUAUCCAGGGCAGUGGUUCAUAUGAUUUAAUUGUUAACUGACCAGAAGGCUGAUCUCUAUGCGGGAGUCAGCCUCCUCUGCAGAUUGGUGGGAGGGGCCCUGAACUUCAGCACCCAGGCUCACCCAGUGUUUGCCAGACGUCUCUGAUAAUGAGAAUCUCGUGGGGGUACUUCUUAACCAUUGCUGGUUCCUGGCUUCAUCUCAGACCCAUUGGAUAAGAACCUCCAGGAGGCCCGGGAAGCUGUGUUUUUAAUAUGAGCCCCAGACAAUUCUUAUCAGAGAAUUUUGGGAAACACCAUUAAUCCUAGCUAUAACACGGAUUGAUUGGUGAUAGCCAGCUGAUUUUUUUUUUCUCUUUAAGAGUAAAAUAAAAAUUUACUGCAAAGAUGAUGUCUAAGAUCCAGACUUAUUUUUACAGAAGGCAUCCUUCCAUUGAUAUUUGGGGGAAGAGGGUAUCAUCAUGCUUUCAGGAGAAAGAUGCCGUUUCCUUCCUCCCCUGCGUUAGCUGUCACUUUCCUCUCUGCUUGAAAUUCUCUCCUCACUUCUUACACCUGGAAAACUCUGCUCCUUCUUCAAGAGUCAGUUCGGCCAAUCAUGCCCCCUGAAAACCUUCUGUGACUCUCCCAGCCGAGUCAGUGUUUCCUCAUAACCUCUUUGGACUGAGCACCAGGGCUGUUUCCUAGUGAAGAAGGCCAAAUCACAAGAGAAGAGAAAAGAUUGAUCUUGAGUGCUGGGUAUUUUUCGCUCACCACAUUAGCUGCCAGUUUUCCAGGCUAUCCCCCCAGGACCGAGAUGAGGUGAGAGGUGGUUCAAUGAACGAGACAGAAAAUAUCAAUUAUUGAUGAGAAUAUGGAGCACUUGGAGUUCUUAUACACUGCUAGCUGGAGUGCCAAAUGAGUACAAGCUACUCCGCCAGUACCCUGCAAGCUGAACCUAAUCAACGAGUUGGCAAGUCUACUCCUAGGGGAAGCCUGCUGCCAGGUCACGUAGCCCCGUGGAGACGCCUGCAUGGUGAGGAACUGAGGCCUGCCCAAAACCACAGGAAUGAUCUUGGAUGUGGAUCUUCCAGCCCCAGAUGAAAACAUUGAAACUAAAGAAUGAAACACGUGCUGGUCAAAGUCACAGCUCUCUGAAGUAUUAGAGCUGCAACUUGAACCCAGUCUGUCUGGAUAAUUCCAGUAAGCCAGGCUCAGUCAAAACUUGAGUAAACAAAUGUUCUUUGGUCUUAGGUGGAAAUUCAGAGAUGAAAAGGCCAAGUUUCCUGUCCUCAAGAAAUUGCUGGUGUGAUCAGGUCGAGUUGUAAAAAUAUGAUCCACCAAGAACCAAGAUCCCCUGGAGAGGAAGCCAAUUUGCAGAAGACUGGAUUCUCACAUCUGCUCUGAAGUCAGAUUCUGUGCAGUGUAAUGUUUUGUCAAAGUCUGUGCAGAGAACCCGGUCUCACACAGCCCUAAAAAGAAGCUAAAAUUGGACGCAUAUUAUAAUUCAAUGCAUUAUUGAAUGCAUGUAACGAGGAAAACCACGUUCAGAAAUGUGAGCCAAUUUGACUCAGAAUCCAUCAAGCCAUAUUACCACCAACCUCCAUGUCGUCCGACAAGCAUUUGAGUGGCUUCCCUGUACAAGGGAUAUCUUAUUCUGGAGAAGAAACAUGGUGCACCAGAAACACUUCAGUCCACAAAGGAUUACGAGCCAAUCGGCCAUAAUUGUUGCUUUGAAAAGGCAGGAGCAAAAGUAGAGUUGAUGGAGAUUCCAGGCGUGAAAGGGUCGUAAGUUCUGGGCUUUCCAAUACUAAGCCAUCCUCCUCCAGAUGAUUUUAAUAAUCUCCAGCACAUGUGUUCUAACCCCUUGAUGCUGUACAAUAUGUGUAACCAAAUAAAAGAUCGCUCCAGAUUCGGAGAUUUACUGUUUGUGAUGGGAAAAGGCCAACCAGAUGACAUCAUUUAUAUUCCAAAUAUGAGCUGCUGCCAAGGCUGGUGAUGUUAAGCUGGAGAAAUUGAUCCUCAACGUUAUUCUGUGAAGGAAAAAAGAGAAAAGAUCUUGGCUGAGACAGUAUCUUUUUGUUAUUUAUGUGAGUAUGAAGACUAGUUUCAUAAACUUCUGUUGUAUCUAGGAUUGCUUAUGUCCGGUGUGUGGACUGUUUAGACACACAAUGACGUCCAUAUAAUUAAACUUACCAAGUUGGGUGAUCAGAGUGACCACUUGGUUGUUGCUGUUGCCGGAUGGAUAACCGAUGAGGGACUGACCUGAGGCUUGUCUGCUCCAGCAGACAGGGUAUCCGAGCUGUGGUCACUUGUUCAAAAGCAAAGGUGCCCAGUUUGUCAUGGUGGAGGGCAGUGGACUCUGCACCCAUUCCCCAGCUUCUUCCUCACAUGUGAUUAUUUUCUAGCAUCCAUAUUCUCCACCACCAUGAAACCCAGGGAAAGUUGACACCAUUUUCAGUUUCAACGGUAGAUCUUGAUUAAUCUAAAUUAAUAAACGCAUGGCAUUCUCCCCAUGGCCGGUGAUUCAGGAGUGACUUCUGAGUAUAAUCAGCUAAGUGAAAGGGCUUAGGUUCCAUGCUCGAGGAAGUGGGUUUUCCCUCUCUUUCUGGAUAGAUGAUGGCAGAAGCACAGAGCCCCCCAUUGCUAAUGGCAUCCAUUUUACAAUCGCAAGGAGGAGCAGGUUUAGAAUGAAGUCAGUGUUGAGGAUGGCUGAAUGGAGAGAUGGAAAAAACCAAAAUGCUUGAUUAUAUCAUUGAGCCUCUGUGCUGUGCUUUCCCUGUCUCUGGGCUUCCUUUCAUAUACUAUAUCAUUUCCUUAUUAUUUAAGCCAGUUUGAGUUUCUAUUGCUUGCCCCUGAAGGCAUCCUGAUUGGGAGAGGUGCACAUUUGCUUCCUGAGGCCCCAUGCACAUUUGAACCACAUUUUCGUGGUGUUUUAAAGAUAGAGCCUUGAAUUUAUGUCUAAGGACUGUAUGCAUCCAGCUGCCACCACACUCAAAGUGGUCUAAAACAGAAAUCACUCUCAACAUUGCCUGGCUUCUUGAUCUUGACCCUCCCAGCCUCAUGUCCAACCCCUCCAGCCUCAUCUCUAGCCAUACUCAUCAGCCCCUCUACAGUCUUUCAGUUAUCCUAGUGUGCCAUCCGGUCUCUCACCUCUAGCCUUGCUCACGCUUUUUCCACUGACUCUAUGGAUCUCCUUGACUGCCUUUUCCCCAUACUCCCGCUCCAUCAAACCUUGACUUAGGCACCAUUUCCCCUGGGCAGACUUCCCUUCAUUGGUCCUUCUAAUACUUCCCUAGCACCUUACUCAUCCCCUAUCAGAGCACUUUCUACUCUAUAUGGAAAUGACCCUGUUGGACUGUGGGUCCAGUGAGGACAGGAAACAUCUGUUCUGUUUACAGUUUUGUCCCCAGGGCUUAACACAUAGUUGGUACUGCAUAAAAUAUUUGUUGAAAGAAUGAUGAAUUAAUUACUUAAAGCUAUUCAAACACUCUGCCUUGCCUAGUGCCCAAGUGCCUUAAUAUGGCUUUCAAUGAUCUGGCCCUGACUUCCUGUCCAGACCCCUCUCCCGUUACUCACCACUAAUUUUUUUAUUUAAAGCGCACUGAUUCACACGUCCUCUGCCCUUUCAUGUCUUACUGCCCCUAUGGGCAUUUGUUACUUCCUGAAACUACCCAUUGUUGUGGGGCUCUGCUUCUUUAGUUGGGAGAUUGCUGUGAAAUAGUGAAAGGAAUUCAAACAAACAAACAACAACAACAACAACCCAACAACCCUGGGUUCAAAUUCUGCGUAGCAUCUUCUCAUUCGUGUGAUGUUGGACAAUGUACUUAAUCUGUCAUCUACAACAUGGGGGCAAAAUUGUGCCCAGCCAGGUUGUUGUGAGGAUAAAUCAGGGAAUGGAUAAGAAGUCACCUGGCAUAAUACUUCUUGUGUUAAGUUCUUCGAAUAACCCUGCAUGCUGAAUCAUUGUUGAAGUCUGACUUCUGGUUUCAGAAUCAACCACCAAUUUGAUUCUAGGUUUCUUUGAAAAAGCAAAAUCAAAGAGUAAAAAUUGACCAUGGGUUCAGACUUCAGGAAGAAAAAAAGGUUUGAGAGGGAGUAAAGUGGCAUUGCGGGGUCUUUAUUCUCUACUUUAAAGUCUGAAGAGUCUGGGGUUAGCAGGAGUACCGUUUGAGAAGUUACUUGGUUUGGCUAAAAUGGUCACGUUGUCAUGGCAGAACCUGAAAUUACCAGGAAGUUUUUGAGUUCCCACAGUUUCAAUUACAAUUGCUGUGCCCACGGAGCGAUCCUUCAAGGCCAAGUGGGAACACAGUGGCAGGUGUUCAGUGGUGCUUUUAAGAUGCUGCUAGGUAAGAGUGAAGAACUAGGUAAAAGCCCAUUAAAACCUUUCCCAAAUGGGAGGGAACCACAUUGUCUAGAUUCACAGAGUGAGCUGGACUUACAACUCUUUCCCAUAGUACUGGGCUCUAUUCUUUGACCAAGCUCCUAGUUUUUGAUCCCUGGCUUCUGUUCUACGCCUCCUAUAGUUUGGAGCAACUUACCUAUUCAACAACUAGCUUUCCCUAGAGAUAUUUUGGAAGAGUAGGGGAAGGAAGGAGCUAGCUUCCAGAAAAGGGUACAGAAAUUAGAUGCUGCAUCUAAACAGAACCUUUCUUUCACUUAAAUAUCUUCAUGGUUGAACGGAAGGGAAAAAAAUGUGUGUUUUGGAACCAGAAAGCUGGUUUUGAAUGUUGGCUCAUCCAUUAAUUGACUGUAUGAUUUGGGGCAUGCUACUUGACCUCUUUGAGCCUCAGCUUUUUCAUCUAUGAAAUGGGCCUAAUAUCUGUCUUGCACAGUCUUGGUGGUAAUGAGAUGAGACCACGGAUGCAAAACAUCUAGCAGAGUGCUUAGGAGGUGUUCAACAAAGUUGACUUUAUUGCUAAUUUUUAAAAUUAUUAUUUCCUAUACAUCAAUGUCAGUUAUGUCAGAGUGAGAUGGCAGGUACAGUUUCCUUUGGACCUGGCUUAUAAGCCAAAAAGGAAAAGAGAUAUAAUCCAAAAAGUAUCAGAAUCAUACUUUACGUUGAACAUUUCUGGCAGCUUUAGCCCUUAUGAAGGUGGGCCAAGACAGUAUCUUAGAAUGUCAAGAUGUAGAUCCAGAUUCCUCAUUGUGCAUGGAAUGGAGUGAGGGUGCAGCAAGCUGUCUAUGGAGUGAAGAUUAAGAGUACAGAGAAAGACAGAUACCAUCUGUUUUCACUCUUAUGUGGA